CUAUUUUCUUCUAUUUACAAGUUUCAGGUCUAACUGAUUUCAGGACAUGGGGUACAAUUGCCUCUAUGGAAUUUUGUGUGAACUCUGGAACUUUCAGAAUCGUCGGUGAUAUAACAGGUUACUCAAAUUUCAUUCAUAAUGUUCCUUUCUCUUCCAAUUUUUUAUGGUGCCUUGAAAUUGGAAUGACUGAUGGUGUUGGCGUUUAUAACCCUGGCUUUUGGGGCAUGGUAAGACUAAUUGAUACCCUUGCAUCAAUUUGAUCUUAAAUCAAAUCCUUAUAUGAUUACUUUCAUUACGAGUUAUUUUUAUUUCUUAGUCGUUGAUUCAUCGAGUACUGCUUUUAGAAUAUUGAGCAUGGGAAGAAAUAUAAAAUUAUGUUUUAUGCUCGUUUAACUGGACCACUUAAUCUAGUAGUUUCGUUCACUGGACUGAACGGUGUGGGAAACCUCGCUUCAACCGUGAUCACGGGCUCUGCGUCUGAUUUUUCAAACUGGACGAAGGUUGAGACUGUAUUGGAGGCCAAGGCAACGAGUCGAAACUCGAGACUUCAAUUAACGACAACAUAAGGUACAUGGUUUCCGAAAUGAUCUUUUUCAAAUGCUGAUAGAUAUGAAACCAAGUUUUAUCAGAUUUCCGGUUAAAAUGCUUUCGGUUUGUUGAGAAGCUAUCAGAGGACUUGGGCGCUUUACCAAUAUGGGUAUUCAAUAAUGGUGUAAGCCAUACCGAUGAAUUUGAUACAUCUGCCGUUUUACCUUUUGUGCGAGAUAUUGUUGAGGCCAAGGAAUAUUUGAAGCAAAGAGGAGUUGAUGUUAGCACCAGCUGAAGUGGUCUAUAGAUCUUCUCUGAAGUUUAGAAUUAGCUGCUACCAGCAAUUAAUUAUCUGAUUCAGAGCUGGAAAGAAUUUUUGGCAUUUUACCUUGUACUCAAUAGUAAUUAAUGUACAUGCAGUUUUGAAUUUUCCCUAAUCUGUUGUUUUCUUUCUUUUA